AUUGAACGCUGGCGGCAGGCCUAACACAUGCAAGUCGAACGAGUGGCGGACGGGUGAGUAAUGUCUGGGAAACUGCCUGCUGGAGGGGGAUAACUACUGGAAACGGUAGCUAAUACCGCAUACCAUCAGAUGUGCCCAGAUGGGAUUAGCUAGUUGGUGGGGUAACGGCUCACCAAGGCGACGAUCCCUAGCUGGUCUGAGAGGAUGACCGGCCACACUGGAACUGAGGCACAGUCCAAACUCCUACGGGAGGCAGCAGUGGGAAAUCUUGCACAAUGGGCGCGAGCCUGAUGCAGCCAUGCCGCGUGUAUGAAGAAGGCCUUCGGGUUGUAAAGUACUUUCAGCGGGGAGGCGUUACCCGCAGAAGAAGCACCGGCUAACUCCGUGCCAGCAGCCGCGGUAAUAC
rnacentral:rRNA from 1 species